UGCCUUACACAUGCAAGUCGAACGGUAACAGGUCUUCGGAUGCUGACGAGUGGCGAACGGGUGAGUAAUACAUCGGAACGUGCCCAGUAAUGGGGGAUAGCUCGGCGAAAGCCGGAUUAAUACCGCAUACGCCCUGAGGGGGAAAGUGGGGGAUCGCAAGACCUCACGUUAUUGGAGCGGCCGAUGGCUGAUUAGCUAGUUGGUAGGGUAAAGGCCUACCAAGGCGACGAUCAGUAGCUGGUCUGAGAGGACGAUCAGCCACACUGGGACUGAGACACGGCCCAGACUCCUACGGGAGGCAGCAGUGGGGAAUUUUGGACAAUGGGGGAAACCCUGAUCCAGCAAUGCCGCGUGUGCGAAGAAGGCCUUCGGGUUGUAAAGCACUUUUGUCAGGGAAGAAAUCCUUUGGGCUAAUACCCUAGGGGGAUGACGGUACCUGAAGAAUAAGCACCGGCUAACUACGUGCCAGCAGCCGCGGUAAUACGUAGGGUGCAAGCGUUAAUCGGAAUUACUGGGCGUAAAGCGUGCGCAGGCGGUUGUGUAAGACAGGUGUGAAAUCCCCGGGCUUAACCUGGGAAUUGCAUUUGUGACUGCACGACUAGAGUGUGUCAGAGGGGGGUGGAAUUCCACGUGUAGCAGUGAAAUGCGUAGAUAUGUGGAGGAACACCAAUGGCGAAGGC
rnacentral:rRNA from 1 species